UACGUAGGGUGCGAGCGUUGUCCGGAAUUAUUGGGCGUAAAGAGCUCGUAGGCGGUUUGUUGCGUCUAUCGUGAAAACCUGCAGCUUAACUGUGGGCUUGCGGUGGAUACGGGCAGACUUGAGUUCGGUAGGGGAGACUGGAAUUCCUGGUGUAGCGGUGAAAUGCGCAGAUAUCAGGAGGAACACCGGUGGCGAAGGCGAGUCUCUGGACAUUUCCUGACGCUGAGGCACGAAAGCCAGGGGAGCAAACGGG
rnacentral:rRNA from 1 species